rnacentral:lncRNA from 1 species
CAAUACUUUGCCAAACCACAAAACCAAAGUGGCUAUGAUGGUUCCAGCAAAAGCAGUAGCUAUGGCAGUGGCAGAAGGUUUUAAUUACUGCCAGGAAACAAAGCUUAGCAGGAGGGGAGAGCCACAGAAGUGACAGGGAAGCUACAGGUUACAACAGAUUUGUGAACUCAGCCAAGCACAGUGGUGGCAGGGCCUAGCCGCUACAAAGAAGACAUUUAUUAGACAAUACUCGUGUGUAUGGACAAAAACUCGAGGAUUGUAUUUGUGACUAAUUGUUUAACAUAGGUGAUUUUAGUUUUUGUUCUGUGGAAAGUGUAAAGCAUUCCAACAAAGGGUUUUAAUGUAGAUUUUUUUUUGCACCCAUGCUGUUGAUUGCUAAAUGUAAUAGUCUGAUCACGACGCUGAAUAAAUGUGUCUUUUU